GAGGGUAUAGCUCAGCGGAAGAGUGCCUGUUUGGCAUGCAAGAGGUCCUGGGUUCAAUCUCCAGUACCUCCA
rnacentral:tRNA from 1 species